UACAGAGGUCUCAAGCGUUGUUCGGAUUCAUUGGGCGUAAAGGGUGCGUAGGUGGCGGGGUAAGUCAGGUGUGAAAUCUCGGGGCUCAACCCCGAAACUGCACUUGAUACUGCCUUGCUCGAGUACUGGAGAGGAGAUUGGAAUUUACGGUGUAGCAGUGAAAUGCGUAGAUAUCGUAAGAAGACCAGUGGCGAAGGCGAAUCUCUGGACAGUUACUGACACUGAG
rnacentral:rRNA from 1 species